AUACUCCUUGUGUGAGCCUUUAAGGCAGGUCUAGUGGCAGUGGGGCUGGCUCGGCGGAUCCCUGUCAGUCACUUUGCUCUCGUACUAAGUGUACUUUUGUGCCAUUUAAGCAGCCGAUGGUGUCAUUGGCGUUGAGAGUGCAGCUUCUACAGCUCACACUGAAGGCUUUGGGGACCCAGGAGGGCGCGAGUUGUUUUAAGAUACAUGGCCAUUUGACAUACCCGUGUUAAGUUCAAUCUUGCUACAAAAGAAGGCCAUUUGUACUUCCUGACCCUGAAAGCAAGGAUGCCAAAAUGACUCGAUGAUUUAUUUAUGCAGCGCUUGGCAGCCCAUCGUCCAGAUUGUGGCUGAAGCUGAAUUUUAUGAGCCUUCCCCCAAAAAACUGGAAGAUUUUGCCAUCUUACAAGCCCUCUUCCUUAAGAAAGAGAAAGAUGAGCAGUAAAUAUCCUCUGGCACGUCGGCACAUUCUGUCUCUUCGUGUUUUCAUGAAGUGUUCAUGACAUGGGAUUGAAGUACUCCUUUGUGUUCAGUAUUUGAUAUCAAAUCCUUUACAAGUAAGUUGUGAAUGGUAGAAGGAAUGAUGAGCUUUCCCUGAAGGUUCCAGCUUCUUCCUGCCACUAUUCUCUAGGGUGGGGUCACCUUCAUCUGGUUCCAGGAUGCAGCAUGCCCAGGUCUAAGAAGUCACCCCUUUUGUUACAGUCACUAGACUUUAUCAGAAAAUAUUUUCAAAUUGUCAUAUGAAGACUCAACAAAAAGAAAAACAGAGAAGAAGGAGGAAAAGAAGAAGAAAGAAGAAUAAAAAGAAAGAGAUAAAGAAAUAAACAAACAAAAUAAAAAGGCUCUCCUGUACUUCUUUUUCAGGGCAAGAAACAGAACGGAAAUGGAGAGGAGAGCCCAGCAUGACUUGCGCCGUGCCAAAGGAAUACGUGCAGAAACGUCUACUCUUGAGCCUUCCAGUGGCCACUGGUACCUUUGGACCUUGAGCUGGAGCUGCAGCCUAGAGUUAUUAUUUAGCUUUGCCCUUUGUCUUUGAGAAAUAUCUUGAAAGAGCCAGGUUGGUCCAGACCUGCUGGCAAGCCUGCAGCCCCAUCCACCGAUUACCUAAUACACUUGUGACAUCUGCUUUCCUUGUUGUGAGAAAACACAGGGAGGAAGUGUGUGCAGAAGGGGUGAUGCCUGACCUACACACCCGGCAAUACCAGAAGUUUCACUACCUUCCGUUGGUAAACGCUUCAGGGAAGGCUCUGCAACCCUGAACGUGUUUUAUUGUAGAACCUCACUAGGAAACUCAUCAGUAUUUAUUAAAGAUGAAUUAAAAGAAGGAGGAAAAGGAAAAACGGGAUAGUGAAGAGAAUAGAUGAAUGAAAAAGAAGCAAAGGGAAGAGAGGAGGAAGGGACAAAGAGGGCAAGAAAAGAGAAAAGAGAGAUGAGAGACCAGGACUUCCCACCUAACCUUACCAAACUUUUUCAGUUGAGCUUUUAAUGGGAUACUAUUCCCAAGAGGAAAUUCAAAAAGAAAACCACCUUGAAACAUCCUUGCUUUUAAUUGUACUCUUUCAACUGCCAGGAAAUUAAUUAGGUAAGACAAAAAGAAAA
rnacentral:lncRNA from 1 species